rnacentral:rRNA from 1 species
GAAUGGCUCAUUAAAUCAGUUAUCGUUUAUUUGAUAGUACCUUACUACUUGGAUAACCGUGGUAAUUCUAGAGCUAAUACAUGCCAAAAACCCCGACUUCGGGAGGGGUGUAUUUAUUAGAUAAAAAACCAAUGCCCUCUGGGCUCUUUGGUGAUUCAUGAUAACUUCGCGGAUCGCAUGGCCUUGCGCCGGCGACGGUUCAUUCAAAUUUCUGCCCUAUCAACUUUCGAUGGUAAGGUAUUGGCUUACCAUGGUCUCAACGGGUAACGGGGGAUUAGGGUUCGACUCCGGAGAGGGAGCCUGAGAAACGGCUACCACAUCCAAGGAAGGCAGCAGGCGCGCAAAUUACCCAAUCCCGACACGGGGAGGUAGUGACAAUAAAUACUGAUACAGGGCUCUUUUGGGUCUUGUAAUCGGAAUGAGUACAAUUUAAAUCCCUUAACGAGGAACAAUUGGAGGGCAAGUCUGGUGCCAGCAGCCGCGGUAAUUCCAGCUCCAAUAGCGUAUAUUAAAGUUGUUGCAGUUAAAAAGCUCGUAGUUGAACCUUGGGCCUGGCUGGCUGGUCCGCCUCACCGCGUGCACUGGCAUGGCCGGGCCUUUCCUCCUGGAGAGCCCCAUGCCCUUCACUGGGCGUGUGGGGGAACCAGGACUUUUACUUUGAAAAAAUUAGAGUGUUCAAAGCAGGCCUUUGCUCGAAUACAUUAGCAUGGAAUAAUGAAAUAGGACGUGCGGUCCUAUUUUGUUGGUUUCUAGGACCGCCGUAAUGAUUAAUAGGGACAGUCGGGGGCAUCCGUAUUCAAUUGUCAGAGGUGAAAUUCUUGGAUUUAUUGAAGACGAACUACUGCGAAAGCAUUUGCCAAGGAUGUUUUCAUUAAUCAGUGAACGAAAGUUAGGGGAUCGAAGACGAUCAGAUACCGUCGUAGUCUUAACCGUAAACUAUGCGACUAGGGAUCGGGCGAUU